ACUUCCCAGGAAACAGCUUUCCUUUGUUCCUUUUUCCCUGACAAAAUCCUUAAUCUCAUUGAACUUUGAGUAUGCAGAACUUGCGGCUGCUACUGGACAAAUCGGUGGAGAUAGGGGGUGUCGAGGAGGGAAUUGUCGUUGACGGAAGUGGAGAGGGGUAAGGGGAUGUCGGAGGAGGAGAAAGAGGGGAUAAGGAGGAGUCCAUGAGCUUGAGGAAGUUACUGAAACAAUGAGGGCAGAGGAGGAAAGAGGAAGCAAAAUGAAAACAAGAAUUAUAAAUUGCUUUCCAAAUAAUUUAAAAAAAAAAAAAAAAACAAAAAGCAAAGAUUGGAGAGCUUAAAAAGAGCCUAAAAAGAACGACUUUGGAUUUUUAUAGACAUAUUUUGGUUUGAGCAGUUUCUCUGUCUGGUCGGCAAUCUGAGGUGGAGGCUACAAUAAACUUGAAGACGCAUAGCAUGUCUCAUUCUCAUGUGCCAGAGGUCUUCAAAACAAUUGCCUGAAUAAAUGGGGAGGCAUAGCUGAAAAUGUGAAGAGAGUUAGUGAGAAGCAAGAGGAAUGGGAAGAGUGGUGAAAAGAAGAAGAAGAAGGGAGGAGGAAGGAGCAAGGAGUUUGUUGUAUAUCUGCUCGCCAGGAAAAGUGCUGACUCAUCUCUUAUCAUUCAUCAAGCUUUCUUCACUUAGUUGCUCUUUUACCAAAUAGCCCCGUUUUAUCUCUUCGGUCACCAAGUAUUCAAGGUCUAAAAUGUACCACAAGAGAAGACUUUGGGCUAUCAAGGCCAAAAAAGGCAGCGUUUUCCCUCGCCACGAUCCGAAGCCUGCCGCAAAGAACCCACCUCAAAAACCUCCUAAGUUCUACCCCGCUGAUGACGUCAAGAAACUGCUUGUCAACAAGCGCAAGCACAAGCCCACCAAGCUCAGGAUGAGUAUUACACCGGGGACGGUGUUGAUUAUAUUGGCUGGGAGAUUUAAAGGGAAGAGAGUUGUAUUCCUGAAGCAAAUUUCAUCUGGCUUGCUUCUGACAAGACCGAUCCAUACGUUAUUUUAAGCCUAGGGGACCAAGUCAUACGCAGCAAAAAGAAUAGCAAAACCACAGUCAUUGGACCUCCUAGUGAACCAAUUUGGAAUCAGGAUACAAGCAACUAUAGAGCAUUGUCUGGUCAUAUGCAUCUUCUAUCAAGUCAUAUAAGAUAUUUGGUGAUGCAAUGGUGUUUGAUACCACUCAUUGCUUGACUGCAUUUGAUAUGCCACUUAGGAUAUGGGUUGGAAUGAAUAGUUAUGGUAAGCCUUGCUUCUUUGCUUGCUUGCUUCAACGAGAAGAAAAUUUGAGGUCUUUUUGAUGGGCAUUGAAGGUAAUAGAGCGAAAAUAGAAUACAAUACAAAUAUAUUCUAUUAGUCAUUUUGUGUAGAAAGGAAGUGGGUUUAUUGGUGGUUUUAUGUUGAAAUUAUGAUAAUACAAAUUUUCGGUAAUUAUGAUAAUAUAAAUUUAUUUGUUAGUCAAACCAUCUAUUGUAUGGUUUGUGGGUGUAAUUGUUGAAGCAGCAGGUGUAAUUGCUGGUUUGAAGGAUAAGACGUAAGGUUGGUCAUGCUCAUGACUAAAUUUUAUAUUUAUUACUCAUAUAACUUUAUGGAACCAGGUUAAUUAAUCUUUAGACAAGCAUGUAUUCUAUCAAACUGUUCUAAUAGUAUCAUCAUCACUUGCUUAUUCCCUUCUCUGUCUAUUACGAAGAGAAAACUAAUUUCUACUUACACUUUUGUUAUGUUAUUUAAUUUUAUUUUUCUAAAGCCUAGUUGACAAAUAAUCUGUUUUGCUAUUUUUGAAAAUAUAAAUCAUCUUUGUAAAAGUCAUAAACUUCAUAUUUAAUUCGAUUAUUGUUACAUUUUACGCUUUGAAAUGUUAUUUUGCAGUUGGGCUAGACAUUAUUAAUUAAUAUUUAUCAUUCUCUUGUUUCAUUUUGAUAUGUUAUUUUGCAGUUGGGUUAAACAUUCUCUCAGUUGGGAAUCUGUCUGUAGUACUUAAGUGCAUAAAGUGCAUGCAUCAACCCCUUUUUAAAAUGCUUGUUAGUGAAUAUUAGGGAGAACUUGGAAAAGGAAUCGUACAUUAUGGAGCUUAGGAAUCAGUGCAAAAAUUAUGAGAACAACAGAGAUGGCUGCUGUAGAGGAGAAGCUACAUGAGCUUGAGAGACAAAAGGAAGAAAUGUUGAGGUUCGGUUCCCCUGCUUCCCUUCUCCAAAGGCUUCAAGAUGCAAUGAACAUGACCGAUGAGGAAUCUGAAAAUCUGCACAAGCAGCUUUUUGUGCAGAUAUACAAGAAGCUUCGCACCACUUAAGCAAGUAUUCAUCUUGCAGCUAAAACAAAUUCACUCAGUUGAAUUGAUAUUAUAGAAAGAUAUAUACUUGGAACACAUUGAAAUCUUACUUCUAUUUUCAAUGCAUUGGCUAGAUAAACAUGAUUGUCUGUGUAUUAUUUGGUUAAAUAUUGUCUCUUUGCUAGUAUAUCAGUUUUGACAGCACUCGUUCAUGUACGUUCAACAUUCAUCGUGGUAUGGUAUUAUAUAGUUACAAUUUUAUCAGCUUUUGCCAUAAUUACAUUUACAUUUAUGAUUUUUAACUUGAAAAAAUUGACAGAUGCAGUCUAUGCUUUUUAGGCUUUAUCUGUAACUAAAACUAGCCUUUCAUUUUGAUGCACCGCUUCUACUUGUUUUGUCUUUGAUUGGACAGUAAUCUCAUAUUGGCUAAUCUGAUUAUGAAUCGACAUAAAUGUGAGUAUAACUUCAAUGUAAAAAGCUUAAAGUAGUUCCAUGUUUAAGGAAUAAUACUACUUUAAACAAUUACACCAUGGAUUUGAUACCAACAUAACCUUUUGUAGAAGCUGUAAUAUUCUUUAGUUUUUAUUCAUAAAAUACUUGUACAUUUUUCGCUUGCUAAUUCAAAUUUAGUUUUUAGUUUUUCUACAUGAUUCUCAUGUCAAGAUGAAGUGUAAGGACCCAAUUUCAUUAUUAAAUUCUCCAUAUUGUUUGAGAAGCGGAAAAGCAAGAAAUAAGAAGGAUGAGAAUUUAAAUGGAUGGUAAUUGAGUUCUCAAAUAUUGGCUCUCUAGUUUGAGACGAUUUGAACUUGUUUGAAUGGUAUGCAUUGAAAUUUAGUUAGUUUUAAAUUAGAGACUAUUCCCAGCUUGAAAGCUUCUUCCAAUCUGUUUUAAAAUGCGGUUCCAUGACAGUAUAUCCAUAAGAGAGUAGUCAUGAGGGAAUUAAUUGUGUAGUUGUGGAAAAUAUUUAAAUAAAUGGAUAUGAAAGUGUUGAAUAAAUGGAACCAUCUCCCCUUCUUCAUCUACCCUUAUUUCUCAUUAACUGUCAAAUAAAGUGGAAAAUAUUUAAACAAAUUAUUUUAUCAUCUCCCAUUUCUCAUCUACCCUCAUUGACUUCUAUCUCUCUCUCUUUCUCUCCCUGCUACCACAUUCAAUGAAUCCUGUGUGUCUCCCUCUCUCUCUCUCUUUUGUUAGUUACGUACCUUUCAGCCUUUCUUCACACUAACCAACCAUUGCAGAAAACACAGUUAUAGUCUUUAGUUAACUUUUUAUGCUUUUAUUAUGUGAUUAAUGUGUUUAAUAUUAUAUUGGUUGAUAUUAUAUUGGUUUUGUUAUAAUUUAGCAGUUUUUUUUCCUUGCGUUAGAAAGCAUGGUCUGCUAUAAUUAUCAUGAGGAGGAAGGGCAAAACUAGAGUUUGUAAUGUUUUUGAGCUGUUUUGUUUGCCGACAUGAUUAAAGAAUUAAUCAACAAGGGUUAUGAACGUCAAAAUAACACAGUUGCAAUGCAAACUCUUGUUACUAAUUGGUUGGAAAAUAUCAUGCAAGAGCGCUCAAAUAAUGGCAGAGGCUUACGUGUUAUUCCAUUGAACUUAUACGAGUUUCAAAUUGUUGGAUAUGGCGUGUUCAUUGGAGUAGUCAACUUAGAAAGUAAGACGUGCUCAUGCAAGGAAUUUGACAUUGAUGGAUUUCCUUGUGUCCAUGCAAUUGCAGCAUAAACCAUAUAUCCACUUGGAGAUAAAUGUCAGUGGCAAGCUCGAGAUGAUGUCAUAAACCAGCUUGUACAUCCACCUAAGAUUGACAAACAGUCAAGAAGACCAAGAAAGAAGAGGAUUCAAUCUCAAGGAGAGGAGCGUCUUCAAUAUAGAUGAAAGAGAUGCAAACACAUUGGUCACAGCAACCGAUCAUGCUAGGCCGUCGUACCUCUUGAUAGCACUACCAACCAACAGCACCAUUCAACCGAAGGACCAUAAAUUGCUCUACGCUAUAUUAAGACAAUGGGGGCAUGUUAUGCGGUAUGCGUGUGUUAUGCAAUGUAGUAAGGAAUGCAAUUAGUAGCUCAACCGCUAACAUGUGUUUUAGCAUAAUAGAUGUUGGUUUUAUGUGUUGUUUUGUUGGCAAAGUCACCUGUCAUAUUGUGUUUUUAAAAUAUCAUU